UGGACCUGGAGCGAAUCUCAGAAAUAACGUCUCAGUUCGGAUUGUAGUCUGCAACUCGACUACAUGAAGCUGGAAUCGCUAGUAAUCGCGGAUCAGAAUGCCGCGGUGAAUACGUUCCCGGGUCUUGUACACACCGCCCGUCACACCAUGGGAGUCGGGAAUGCCCGAAGCCAGUGACCCAAGCGAGAGCAGGGAGCUGUCGAAGGCAGGCCGGAUAACUGGGGUGAAGUCGUAACAAGGUAAC
rnacentral:rRNA from 1 species